AACCAAUCACUGCUCACUGAUAUGGUCUGGUUCCAUCAUGGCGAUGUCUACAGUGAGUUUAGAAGGCGACUGAAUUGACUUAAUUUCUUUGAAAUCAGAAGUAAGCCAUUUUCUAUGGGUGACAUCACACCCUCUCUGUCCAGUUCUCUCAUAGUGUCAAGUUUGAGUCUCUUAUUUUGAAGUAUCCUCUAUAACCCACAGAAAUGGUUCUUCCCAAGCAUCCCAAGUAUCAGCAGACUGUGAAGUUUCCAAACCAGUUCACCUGAUACCAACAUCUGGUUUGGGGUUUAGACUUUAGUUAUUCAUCUUCACUACACUUGAAUACUGAACUGCUUCAUAUUAAGGAUCAAUUAAACUACUCGGGUGCUAAAUUUAGCCAAUAUCAGCUUCUAAUCCUGGUUUAUUUCCUUUUUUCCAGGAUGUGUGAACACGUUUGUCAUUUUAUUAACUUUAUAAUGCAGUCCCAUCAGGGUUACUUCAUCUUCUCAUUCUGUUUCUCGUCGCUCUCAGAGAGAAUAACAGAAUGCGAGAUUGGUGUUUUAUAGAAACAUAUUCACUCAGCUGCUUGAGGGAAGGAGUUCGCCUGCUGAGAGCUGUCAUGCAUUCCCCAAACAAAGUUCUGGGAAAUGCUUUUCCUGGAAUUGUUGUUGGGACAUUUGGAUGUGAUAAAGAAUGGCACACUCAUCAGUUUAGCACCAGUUUGAUGGAUUAGAUCUGAUGGGACUUGUUAUGCCACCAGCACAUGACAAGAUGGUGUCAGCAAUGACCACGCAAAUCCCACCGCGACGCGACCGGGCAGCGUUACCCUCACAGGUCAUGUGACAUUUGAAGGUGAUUCUAUCACGAUGACUGCUGUCAUUUGCCUUCAAAUCCUCCGUCUGUCUGAUCAUGCAUUGCUGUCUUUCUCCAUUGACAUUGAGAAAAAUUCCAUUUCCAAUCUGCUCUCUUCCCUCAUCAUCUGCAUCCUUAUUGCACCUGCUUCUGGCUCUCCACCACCGCCGCCACCGCCGCCACCCCUCUGCUUGCUGCAGCGUGGAAUUUUCCAAGCUCGGCGAGUGCUGCAGUGCUGGACCUCGAAGUGAUGCUGUAAAGGGGAACGAGGAGGAAGGAGGCAGGCUCAGCACUGCUUAACACGCAGCUUUUUUUCCCUUUUAAGAAAUGAUCUCUGCAUCUCACCCACUCGAUUCAACUCAGUGGAAAAAUACCUGACAGACGAACAAACUGGAACACGAAGCAUCCAGAAAACACAGAAAGAGCUGAACGAGAUGAUUUCUUUGGAAGUGAAUGUAGAAAGAAUCGUAGUAGUUCUUGGUGUUUUGGAUGUUAUGAAGCUUGAAAUUCAUGUUUUGUUUUUGAUAAAAAAAAUGAUAUUAAUAUGAUAUUAACAGAAAAAAACAUUCAGAUGUAAAUAAAACAAGAAACAGAAA